AACGAACGCUGGCGGCGCGCCUAAUACAUGCAAGUCGAGCGAGAAGGUGUAGCAAUACACUUGUAAAGCGGCGAACGGGUGAGGAAUGCAUGGGUAACCUACCCUCGAGUGGGGAAUAACUAGCCGAAAGGUUAGCUAAUACCGCAUACGUUUCCGGAACUUCGGUUUCGGAAAGAAAGCAAUACCGUGGGUAUUGCGCUCCUGGAUGGGCUCAUGUCCUAUCAGCUUGUUGGUGAGGUAACGGCUCACCAAGGCUUCGACGGGUAGGCUGGUCUGAGAGGACGAUCAGCCACACUGGCACUUUGCGACACGGGCCAGACUCCUACGGGAGGCAGCAGUAAGGAAUAUUGCGCAAUGGACGAAAGUACUGACGCAGCGACGCCGCGUGGGGA
rnacentral:rRNA from 1 species